rnacentral:rRNA from 1 species
UAAAACGUAGGAGGCGAGCGUUAUCCGGAUUUACUGGGCGUAAAGCGUGUGUAGGCGGUUUGAUAAGUUGGAUGUGAAAGCUCCCGGCUUAACUGGGAGAGGUCGUUCAAAACUAUCAGACUCGAGAGUGGUAGAGGGAGGUGGAAUUCCGCGUGUAGUGGUGAAAUGCGUAGAUAUGCGGAGGAACACCAGUGGCGAAAGCGGCCUCCUGGCCCAUUUCUGACGCUCAGACACGAAAGCUAAGGUAGCAAACGGG